UUGGAGGGCAAGUCUGGUGCCAGCAGCCGCGGUAAUUCCAGCUCCAAUAGCGUAUAUUAAAGUUGUUGCAGUUAAAAAGCUCGUAGUUGAAUUUCGGGAUCAAAUUGUCGGUCGUGCCUCGGUACGCACUGGUAUUAUUGGUUCCUACCUUCUGAAGAACCGCGAUGUCAUUAAUUUGGUGUCGUGGGGAAUCAGGACUGUUACUUUGAAAAAAUUAGAGUGUUUAAAGCAGGCUUACGCUUGAAUACAUUAGCAUGGAAUAAUGAAAUAGGACGUUUGAUUCUAUUUUGUUGGUUUCUAGGAUUGACGUAAUGAUUAAUAGGGAUAGUUGGGGGCAUUAGUAUUCAAUUGUCAGAGGUGAAAUUCUUGGAUUUAUUGAAGACUCACUACUGCGAAAGCAUUUGCCAAGGAUGUUUUCAUUAAUCAAGAACGAAAGUUAGGGGAUCGAAGACGAUCAGAUACCGUCGUAGUCUUAACCAUAAACUAUGCCGACUAGGGAUCGGAUGAUGUUAAUUUUUUAAUGACUCAUUCGGCGCCUUACGGGAAAC
rnacentral:rRNA from 1 species